GCCUCCUUAGCUCAGUAGGUAGAGCACUUCCAUGGUAAGGAAGGGGUCUCCGGUUCGAGUCCGGAAGGAGGCU
rnacentral:tRNA from 2 species